rnacentral:rRNA from 1 species
AGAGUUUGAUCCUGGCUCAGAUUGAACGCUGGCGGCAUGCCUUACACAUGCAAGUCGAACGGCAGCGCGGGGCAACCUGGCGGCGAGUGGCGAACGGGUGAGUAAUAUAUCGGAACGUACCCUGGAGUGGGGGAUAACGUAGCGAAAGUUACGCUAAUACCGCAUACGAUCUAAGGAUGAAAGCAGGGGACCGCAAGGCCUUGUGCUCCUGGAGCGGCCGAUAUCUGAUUAGCUAGUUGGUGGGGUAAAGGCCUACCAAGGCAUCGAUCAGUAGCUGGUCUGAGAGGACGACCAGCCACACUGGAACUGAGACACGGUCCAGACUCCUACGGGAGGCAGCAGUGGGGAAUUUUGGACAAUGGGCGCAAGCCUGAUCCAGCAAUGCCGCGUGAGUGAAGAAGGCCUUCGGGUUGUAAAGCUCUUUUGUCAGGGAAGAAACGGUGAGGGCUAAUAUCCUUUGCUAAUGACGGUACCUGAAGAAUAAGCACCGGCUAACUACGUGCCAGCAGCCGCGGUAAUACGUAGGGUGCAAGCGUUAAUCGGAAUUACUGGGCGUAAAGCGUGCGCAGGCGGUUUUGUAAGUCUGUCGUGAAAUCCUCGGGCUCAACCUGAGAAUUGCGAUGGAGACUGCAAGGCUAGAAUCUGGCAGAGGGGGGUAGAAUUCCACGUGUAGCAGUGAAAUGCGUAGAGAUGUGGAGGAACACCGAUGGCGAAGGCAGCCCCCUGGGUCAAGAUUGACGCUCAUGCACGAAAGCGUGGGGAGCAAACAGGAUUAGAUACCCUGGUAGUCCACGCCCUAAACGAUGUCUACUAGUUGUCGGGUUUUAAUUAACUUGGUAACGCAGCUAACGCGUGAAGUAGACCGCCUGGGGAGUACGGUCGCAAGAUUAAAACUCAAAGGAAUUGACGG